GACGAACGCUGGCGGCGUGCUUAACACAUGCAAGUCGAACGGAAAGGCCCUGCUUUUGUGGGGUGCUCGAGUGGCGAACGGGUGAGUAACACGUGAGUAACCUGCCCUUGACUUUGGGAUAACUUCAGGAAACUGGGGCUAAUACCGGAUAGGAGCUCCUGCUGCAUGGUGGGGGUUGGAAAGUUUCGGCGGUUGGGGAUGGACUCGCGGCUUAUCAGCUUGUUGGUGGGGUAGUGGCUUACCAAGGCUUUGACGGGUAGCCGGCCUGAGAGGGUGACCGGCCACAUUGGGACUGAGAUACGGCCCAGACUCCUACGGGAGGCAGCAGUGGGGAAUAUUGCACAAUGGGCGGAAGCCUGAUGCAGCAACGCCGCGUGCGGGAUGACGGCCUUCGGGUUGUAAACCGCUUUCGCCUGUGACGAAGCGUGAGUGACGGUAAUGGGUAAAGAAGCACCGGCUAACUACGUGCCAGCAGCCGCGGUGAUACGUAGGGUGCGAGCGUUGUCCGGAUUUAUUGGGCGUAAAGGGCUCGUAGGUGGUUGAUCGCGUCGGAAGUGUAAUCUUGGGGCUUAACCCUGAGCGUGCUUUCGAUACGGGUUGACUUGAGGAAGGUAGGGGAGAAUGGAAUUCCUGGUGGAGCGGUGGAAUGCGCAGAUAUCAGGAGGAACGCCAGUGGCGAAGGCGGUUCUCUGGGCCUUUCCUGACGCUGAGGAGCGAAAGCGUGGGGAGCGAACAGGCUUAGAUACCCUGGUAGUCCACGCUGUAAACGGUGGGUACUAGGUGUGGGGUCCAUUCCACGGGUUCCGUGCCGUAGCUAACGCUUUAAGUACCCCGCCUGGGGAGUACGGCCGCAAGGCUAAAACUCAAAGGAAUUGACGGGGCCCCGCACAAGCGGCGGAGCAUGCAGAUUAAUUCGAUGCAACGCGUAGAACCUUACCUGGGUUUGACAUGGAUCGGGAGUGCUCAGAGAUGGGUGUGCCUCUUUUGGGGUCGGUUCACAGGUGGUGCAUGGCUGUCGUCAGCUCGUGUCGUGAGAUGUUGGGUUAAGUCCCGCAACGAGCGCAACCCUUGUUCACUGUUGCCAGCACGUUAUGGUGGGGACUCAGUGGAGACCGCCGGGGUCAACUCGGAGGAAGGUGGGGAUGGCGUCAAGUCAUCAUGCCCCUUAUGUCCAGGGCUUCACGCAUGCUACAAUGGCUGGUACAGAGAGUGGCGAGCCUGUGAGGGUGAGCGAAUCUCGGAAAGCCGGUCUCAGUUCGGAUUGGGGUCUGCAACUCGACCUCAUGAAGUCGGAGUCGCUAGUAAUCGCAGAUCAGCAACGCUGCGGUGAAUACGUUCCCGGG
rnacentral:rRNA from 1 species